rnacentral:rRNA from 1 species
CACGUAGGGCGCGAGCGUUGUCCGGAAUUAUUGGGCGUAAAGAGCUCGUAGGCGGCCUGUUGCGUCCGAUGUGAAAGCCCGGGGCUUAACCCCGGGUCGGCAGUGGAUACGGGCAGGCUAGAGGUAGGUAGGGGAGAAUGGAAUUCCCGGUGUAGCGGUGAAAUGCGCAGAUAUCAGGAGGAACACCGGUGGCGAAGGCGGGUCUCUGGGCCGAUACUGACGCUGAGGAGCGAAAGCGUGGGGAGCGAACAGG